GACGAACGCUGGCGGCGUGCUUAACACAUGCAAGUCGAACGGAAAGGCCCUGCUUUUGUGGGGUGCACGAGUGGCGAACGGGUGAGUAACACGUGAGUAACCUGCCCUUGACUUUGGGAUAACUUCAGGAAACUGGGGCUAAUACCGGAUAGGAGCUCCUGCUGCAUGGUGGGGGUUGGAAAGUUUCGGCGGUUGGGGAUGGACUCGCGGCUUAUCAGCUUGUUGGUGGGGUAGUGGCUUACCAAGGCUUUGACGGGUAGCCGGCCUGAGAGGGUGACCGGCCACAUUGGGACUGAGAUACGGCCCAGACUCCUACGGGAGGCAGCAGUGGGGAAUAUUGCACAAUGGGCGGAAGCCUGAUGCAGCAACGCCGCGUGCGGGAUGACGGCCUUCGGGUUGUAAACCGCUUUCGCCUGUGACGAAGCGUGAGUGACGGUAAUGGGUAAAGAAGCACCGGCUAACUACGU
rnacentral:rRNA from 1 species